rnacentral:rRNA from 1 species
CUAACCUGCCCACUGAUUUAUUAAAGGGCCGCGGUAUAUUGACUGUGCAAAGGUAGCAUAAUCAUUUGUCUUUUAAUUGAAGGCUAGAAUGAAUGGUUGAAUGAAGUAUUAACUGUCUCAUUAUAAAAAAUAUAAAAAUUUAAUUUUUUAGUCAAAAAGCUAAAAUUUAAUUAGAGGACGAGAAGACCCUAUAGAUCUUUAUAUUAUAAUUUUAUAUAAGUUAAUUGAAUAAAAAAAAAUUAUUUGAAAUUAUAAUAUUUUGUUGGGGUGACAGGAAAAUUUAAAAAACUAUUUUUAUUAAAAAACAAUAAUAAUUGAAUAAUUGAUCCAAUAAUAUUGAUUAAAAGUUUAAGUUACCUUAGGGAUAACAGCGUAAUUUUUUUGGAAAGUUCAUAUUAAUAAAAAAGAUUGCGACCUCGAUGUUGAAUUAAAGA